GGUCCUAUAGUGUAGCGGUUAUCACAGUGGAUUCUGAUUACAGCCUUCCACUAACGCAGGUUCGAUUCCUGCUAGGACCU
rfam:Schizophyllum commune H4-8 unplaced genomic scaffold SCHCOscaffold_2, whole genome shotgun sequence.